rnacentral:rRNA from 1 species
AGUCGAACGCCCCGCAAGGGGAGUGGCAGACGGGUGAGUAACGCGUGGGAACAUACCCUCCGGUUCGGAAUAACUCAGGGAAACUUGUGCUAAUACCGAAUACGGUCGAGAGGCGAAAGAUUUAUCGCCGGAGGAUUGGCCCGCGUCCGAUUAGCUAGUUGGUGAGGUAAUGGCUCACAAAGGCGACGAUCGGUAGCUGGUCUGAGAGGAUGAUCAGCCACAUUGGGACUGAGACACGGCCCAAACUCCUACGGGAGGCAGCAGUGGGGAAUAUUGGACAAUGGGCGAAAGCCUGAUCCAGCCAUGCCGCGUGAGUGAUGACGGCCUUAGGGUUGUAAAGCUCUUUCAUCAGGGACGAUAAUGACGGUACCUGAAGAAGAAGCCCCGGCUAACUUCGUGCCAGCAGCCGCGGUAAUACGAAGGGGGCUAGCGUUGUUCGGAAUUACUGGGCGUAAAGCGCGUGUAGGCGGGUCUUUAAGUCAGGGGUGAAAUGCCAAGGCUCAACCUUGGAACUGCCUUUGAUACUGGAGAUCUUGAGUCCGGGAGAGGUGAGUGGAACUGCGAGUGUAGAGGUGAAAUUCGUAGAUAUUCGCAAGAACACCAGUGGCGAAGGCGGCUCACUGGCCCGGUACUGACGCUGAGAUGCGAAAG